rnacentral:rRNA from 1 species
UACGUAGGGGGCAAGCGUUGUCCGGAUUUAUUGGGCGUAAAGAGCGUGUAGGCGGUUUGGUAGGUCCGCUGUGAAAACUCGAGGCUCAACCUCGAGACGCCGGUGGAAACCAUCAGACUAGAGUCCGGAAGAGGAGAGUGGAAUUCCUGGUGUAGCGGUGAAAUGCGCAGAUAUCGGGAGGAACACCAAUGGCGAAGGCAGCUCGCUGGGACGGUACUGACGCUGAGACGCGAAAGCGUGGGGAGCAAACAGG